GUUCUUGUAGUUGAAGUACAACGAUGGUUUUUCGUAUCAUUGGUCGUGGUUGCAGUCCAUGCGAGAAUG
rnacentral:tRNA from 1 species